UUGAGGGAGACAAUUUCUGGGGGCUGGGCCAGGCUCCUCCUCCCCGGCUCCUUUCGGCCCGCCCCCUUGGCCACGCCUCACCUCGAUCCUUUUACUCCAGUACCGCCCCCUUCUCCUUCGGCUGCUGCGAAAACAAGGAGAGGUGGAUUUUCAACACUGACGUUCCCCGUGGCUCUUGUAGCCAGACUGGGCAUGUUCCGCCGCCGGGUCAGGGACUGCUGACAGGAGAGAGGCGUCUUUAAGCAACUCUCAAUCUCCCUCCUUCUUCACUCUGUCCUUGGCGAACGAAACAAAGUAGCACCUCCGACCCCCUGCCCGGAGCUCGGACCUGCAAAGUGGGUCAGGACUCGACUGAGCAUGCUCAGAACAGUGCCAGAAUGCCGCACGCGGCUGCAUCUCGUUGCCCAAGGUUGAUGUAGCUGCGCUCGCUAGUCACGACCUCGAAGGUCCUACAAGCUUCAAGUGCCUGAAGUUUCUCAUGUUUGCCUUCUCUCCUCGGUGGGAUUGACAGCCAUUGUGUAAUCCAUGGGUUGAAGACUGAAGAGCAACAAGAAGGAAGGAACUACAGUCUCUGAUUCACUGUUUGGACAGAGUUGCCUGCAGAUCACAUCUUUAAAAGUUUUAUGUGAGUCAGAAAUAAACUUUGAUUGCGUUAAGUCUUUGAGAAUGUUGUCUAAUACAAUCAUGAUAUUCAAAAGGAU